AUGAAUGCUGGCGGCGUGCCUCAUCCAUGCAAGUCGAGCGAACGGACGAGAAGCUUGCUUCUCUGAUGUUAGCGGCGGACGGGUGAGUAACACGUGGAUAACCUACCUAUAAGGCUGGGAUAACUUCGGGAAACCGUAGCUAAUACCGGAUAAUAUUUUGAACCGCAUGGUUCAAAAGUGAAAGACGGUCUUGCUGUCACUUAUAGAUGGAUCCGCGCUGCAUUAGCUAGUUGGUAAGGUAACGGCUUACCAAGGCAACGAUGCAUAGCCGACCUGAGAGGGUGAUCGGCCACACUGGAACUGAGACACGGUCCAGACUCCUACGGGAGGCAGCAGUAGGGAAUCUUCCGCAAUGGGCGAAAGCCUGACGGAGCAACGCCGCGUGAGUGAUGAAGGUCUUCGGAUCGUAAAACUCUGUUAUUAGGGAAGAACAUAUGUGUAAGUAACUGUGCACAUCUUGACGGUACCUAAUCAGAAAGCCACGGCUAACUACGUG
rnacentral:rRNA from 1 species